rnacentral:lncRNA from 1 species
GGAUUCGGUGAAAGGUGGAGUUAUAUCAUGUAAUUUAUUUUUAUUUAAAUUCUUGUUCAUGGAAUAACGGGUGCUGAACAAGAAGGAAAUUUUUGGUUUAGGGAUUUUAUUGCUACUAUGAGAAUCACAUCCAACGUUACAUUCCAACAGACGAUGAGACAAAAAAAAAAAAGGCUACUAGUAAAGAAAAAGGAAGUAUCAGUAGAAGUGGUAGUAUCAGAAUUCUCAGAAAGGACGAGCAGGUCCACCUGGUCUAGAAGGCCCACCAAAACAAUCUUGGAAUAACCAGCAGCAACAGAGACAGGACAAGCUGCAAACCCACCCAAAUAAAAAAAAGAGAGUAAACUCCCGGCUCAGUUUCAUUUUCACGCCCGGUUCAAAAUUCCAAAUCCAAAAAGCCAAGCAUAGCAAAAGAAAAACUCAAAAGAAGCCAGCGACAUCAGCCACACAAAUGCCACCACUAAUCUAGAGAGACCACCUCUCCUCUUUUUUUUUUUUUUAACGAUAAAAAGCAUAAAAAUCCAAUACCCUUAACUUUUUGAUUUUCAGGACGAGGUAGCACAUAGCCACAAGGGGAAAAAAAAAAGGCGUUCUUUUUGUGAUUUUUUUUUAAAGAAAAAAGAAAAAAAAAAAGUAACUGAAGUGGCGGUGUUUUUAACUUUUAAUUUUAAACCCGUUAGCAAUAAAAACCACGGAACCAACGACUACUACUACUGCUACACUAAACCAGCUCAAAAAAUAUAUACAGCAGCUUACGAUCGAUAGCUUACCAAGCACUUAUUGCGCUGCAAAUACCAUCGGCAAACCCACCAAAGAAACCAAGUCCCCCGGGUCCUCCAGGUCCCCAACCCGGCCCACCAGGGCCAGGUCCCCAACCCGGUCCACCAGGUCCUCCAGGUCCCCAACCCGGCCCACCAGGUCCUGGUCCCCAACCCGGUCCUCCAGGUCCGGGUCCUCCUCCUCCGCCUCCUGGCCCAGGUCCUCCAGGUCCCAUUGUGGAGUGAUAUUAAUCUCUGUGCGUCUUCUGGAGUCGGAGAUGCCGUAUGGGACUGAACCCAACAAAGAGACAGAUAGUGUGAGUGUGUGUGUGUGUGUUUUGUCGAAAGGGAAAGGGUUGUGCCGUCCUAAGUUUGGAGUUCAAAAGCAUUGAAAAAUGAAAAGUUUACGAGACAGCAUUCAAAAAUAUUUGGCAGCAUAUAAUACGAAGACCAUCCCAAAGGCAAAGGCAGCAGAUCCUCUAUAUUAUAUAGUAUAUACUGCUAGGCGCUAGCUAUAGCUUAUU